rnacentral:rRNA from 1 species
UAGGGAAUCUUCGGCAAUGGACGAAAGUCUGACCGAGCAACGCCGCGUGAGUGAAGAAGGUUUUCGGAUCGUAAAACUCUGUUGUUAGAGAAGAACAAGGACGUUAGUAACUGAACGUCCCCUGACGGUAUCUAACCAGAAAGCCACGGCUAACUACGUGCCAGCAGCCGCGGUAAUACGUAGGUGGCAAGCGUUGUCCGGAUUUAUUGGGCGUAAAGCGAGCGCAGGCGGUUUCUUAAGUCUGAUGUGAAAGCCCCCGGCUCAACCGGGGAGGGUCAUUGGAAACUGGGAGACUUGGGUGCAGAAGAGGAGAGUGGAAUUCCAUGUGUAGCGGUGAAAUGCGUAGAUAUAUGGAGGAACACCAGUGGCGAAGGCGGCUGUCUGGUCUGUAACUGACGCUGAGGCUCGAAAGCGUGGGGAGCAAACAGG